GCGUGGUUUGUCAGCGCAUAAACUUAAAUCAGGACAUUACAGAAAAGGUUAGCAUGGCUCCUGCUCGAGGAUGACCCACAAAUUCACAAAGCCUCCCACAUCAAA
ensembl:snRNA U6 U6 spliceosomal RNA